rnacentral:rRNA from 1 species
GGCUCAGAACGAACGCUGGCGGCGCGCCUAAUACAUGCAAGUCGAACGAGAAUGUGUAGCAAUACACAUGUACAGUGGCGAACGGGUGAGGAAUACAUGGGUAAUCUACCAUCGAGUGGGGAAUAACCAGCCGAAAGGUUGGCUAAUACCGCGUACGCCUCCGGAUCUUCGGGUUCGGAGGGAAAGCUGCACUGUGAGUGCGGCGCUCUUUGAUGAGCUCAUGUCCUAUCAGCUUGUUGGUAGGGUAACGGCCUACCAAGGCUUUGACGGGUAGCUGGUCUGAGAGGACGAUCAGCCACACUGGCACUGCGACACGGGCCAGACUCCUACGGGAGGCAGCAGUAAGGAAUAUUGCGCAAUGGGCGAAAGCCUGACGCAGCGACGCCGCGUGGGGGAUGAAGGUCUUCGGAUUGUAAACCCCUUUCGGGAGGGAAGAUGGAGCGAGCAAUCGUUCGGACGGUACCUCCAGAAGCAGCCACGGCCAACUUCGUGCCAGCAGCCGCGGUAAUACGAAGGUGGCAAGCGUUGUUCGGAUUCACUGGGCGUACAGGGUGUGUAGGCGGUUUGGUAAGCCUUCUGUUAAAGCUUCGGGCCCAACCCGGAAAGCGCAGAGGGUACUGCCAGGCUAGAGGGUGGGAGAGGAGCGCGGAAUUCCCGGUGUAGCGGUGAAAUGCGUAGAGA